rnacentral:tRNA from 1 species
CCGCGGCAGCGUGAGGAAGCGGCGCGCCCCGGCGCAAGCCCCGGCCCGGCGCCGGGCGCCGCGGCGCCGGCUCCGGUCCGGCGCCGCGGC